rnacentral:tRNA from 1 species
GCCGGGGUCUCCUUCCGGUAGGGAGCAGGCCUGGAGAGCCUGUGACCCUUAUGGGUCGCGUGGGUUCAAAUCCCACCCCCGGCGCCA